UGCGCCUCCUCCCUCAGGACCGUGGACCUGCUGGACUGGGGCAGCCUCAUUGACAGCAGGACCAAGCUCUCCAAGCACCUGGUCGUCCCCAACGCACAGACAGGACAGCUGGAGCCCCUGCUGUCCCGGUUCACUGAGGAGGAGGAGCUACAGAUGACGAGGAUGCUACAGCGGAUGGAUGUCCUGGCCAAGAAAGCCAGGGAGGUGGGCGUGUGGCUGAUGGUGGAUGCCGAGCAGACCUACUUCCAGCCGGCCAUCAGCUACCUGACGCUGGAGAUGCAGCGCAAGUUCAAUGUGGAGAAGCCGCUCAUCUUCAACACGUACCAGUGCUACCUCAAGGAUGUCUGUGACAAUGUGACCCUAGGCGUGGAGCUGGCUCGCUGUGAGUGCUGAUGUUUUGGGGCCAAGCGGGUGCGGGGCACAUACCUGGCCCAGGAGCGAGCCUGUGCAGCAGAGAUCGGCUAUGAGGACCCCAUCAACCCCACGUACGAGGCCACCAACGCCAUGUACCACAGGUGCCUGGACUUCGUGCUGGAGGAGCUGAAGCACAACGCCAAGGCCAAGGUGAUGGUGGCCUCCCACAAUGAGGACACAGUGCGCUUCACGCUGCGCAGGAUGGAGGAGCUGCGCCUGCAUCCUGCUGACCACCAGGUGUACUUUGGACAGCUGCUAGGCAUGUGUGACCAGAUCAGCUUCCCGCUGGGCCAUGCCAGCUACCCCGUGUACAAGUAUGUGCCCUACGGCCCUGUGAUGGAGGUGCUGCCCUACUUGUCCCGCCGCGCCCUGGAGAACAGCAGCCUCAUGAAGGGUGCCCGUCGGGAGCAGCAGCUGCUGUGGCUAGAGCUCUUGCAGCGGCUCCGAAAUGGCAGCCUCUUCCGUCGCCCUGCCUAGCACCCGCCAGCCCACCCUCGGCCUCCAGGCCCCCUCGCCCCCACCCCAGGCCGUCACCGCAGCUGCAGCCAACCCCAUCCUCACACAGAGUCACCUUUUUUCACUCCAUACUUGCAGAGCUGCUGGAGGUGGGGUCAGGUGCCUCCCAGCCCUGCCCAGGAUCUGGGCACUCAGGUGUGAGCCGAACCUGCUACCUGCCUGGGAUAGCCACUGGGAACGGUUGGGAACUCUCCCCGGAUGUGUGGGCCCAAGGCCCCCACCUCUGUGACCCCCAUGUCCUCAGGCCUAGAGGAUUGUCCGCCUUCUGCCAGGGCCAGCCCACACAGCCCGAGCCCCUAGGGGAGCAGAGGCUGGGCUGGGGAGGCCCUGCCUGGCCAAUAAACCACUGUUCCUGCAGCUGAGAGCCCGUGCCCUCACACAGGGUCAGCUCUGGGCAGCAAAGAGGGAGUGGCUCAGACAGGGUCAGAGAAGCCUCACCGCAGACUCUGGCUUCCAGCAUCAUCUGUUUCUGGAGGCCGGGCCCUGCGCAGAC